rnacentral:tRNA from 1 species
GCCGAGGUGGUGAAAUUUGGCUAGACACGCAGUCUUCAGAAGGCUGUGAAGGAAACUUCAUGCGGGUUCGAGUCCCGCCCUCGGCA